CAACCUGAGAUGACACAACUGAACAGUUGUGCACAAGUUGCACCCCAUAGUCAAGGUGAAGGCGAUGGAAGGAGAGACCAUGAAACCAAGCUGUGGAAACCAGAGGAGGGGUGGGAAAUUUGAGAUUUGAUUUCUUUUCUGCUCCAGCUGGAAGAACUGCAUCUUCUGCACUCCCAGGGCUGUGGAGCCAGAGUCCCAAGGAGCCCCUCUAGCAGGAAGAUCACCGAGGGAUGAGUCAGAGGCCAGUUCCAGACUCUCUGGAAGCCUCCUUCUGGAGUAAGGGCCUUUCUUCUUGCUUCUUGACUUUGGGAUAUUUAAGGGUUACUGAAGGACACAGGUGCAGAACCAAGGUGGGAGAGUUUUUAACCCCUUUCUGGCAAUUAAAUCCAAGUGAGCUGGCCUAUUAUCUCAGGAUUUUGCCAAUUGGACGGGCUUAUGGGAGCAACCAACAAACAGAGGAAGGUAUCUUUUCUGCCUUAUGACAGCAUGGAGAUCUUACCCAAGGACUCUUCUGGUUUGUGUCAUUCAAGUACUUCAGGAUUAGAGAGGUCAUACUCUCCAUAACUACCUUAGCACUGUUUUCAGUACAUGAAAAGCAAUUAAAAUGGAUCUACUGAAGAAAAGAAAGGAUGGAUGAGUGGGAGGGAGGGUGGAUGAGUUAAGAAAAUAUAUAUUGGUUUCAACUUGCUUCAAGAACUUCAUGGCUGGGACAGAUUGCCCAAUCAAGAACCCACUGAACUCUACCUAUUCAGCUCAGACCUCUCCCCUCCCAGAAUGGUUCAUUCACAGAAUCCAUGUAUCCAAUACCCAAUCAUGCAAUACCUGGCUAUCAGCUUCAUACUUUCUGCUCACAAAUUAUAUUUAAACAGAACUCAAAUUUGA